GAGAUAUGGAGCCAUAUGUGAAAAACACCUUUGCCUUGGUCAGUGGCCGUUUUUAAAUGUGUUCGUAAUUUUUUAUUUUAUUUUAAAACGCUUUUAACGGACCGUUGUUUUUCUCUGGGUAUCCUGGGCCCAUGGGGAAAGCAUUGGAUUGGCUAAAAUCAGCAAGGGGGCGGAACCAAACACAAUUUUGGCCAAUCAGCACCUCCUCAUAGAGAUGUAUUGAAUC